CGCACGCGUUGCCUCGCCGCGCGCACACAAAAGCACGCUCAUCCGCUGACUGGACAGGCUCAAUGACCACGCAGGAUGAGGGGGCAGAGCCGCAGUGGACUCUCCUGGUGUGCAUGCCCGAGUGCCAGGCAGCGCACGCCAGCAUCGUGCGUGAGCUGCGCGAUGCUGGCGUCGACGUUGUAGAACGCCGAUUUGUACUGACACCCGAUCAGGCCCUCACCAUCGCCCAACAAUACGCGCACCUGCGGCGGCGCGCGGCAGCGCGUCAGUUCUCCACGAGCACCGCCGCGGAGGCAGAGGCCGUCAAGACAUCAUCCCAGCCGUUCCUGUCGGAAGCGCGGCACCGGCUAUGGUCAGAGACGCUGUCUCAGCAACAACCCCAGCAGGGGCAGCACCCCCAGUCGCAGCAACAGGUGGAGUCGCGAGCCGUGAGCGGCCAGCUGCUGGACAGCAUCAUGCGCCUCGCUCAAGGGCAUCGAGCGCAUCAACAAUCAGGGCCCUCGCGCGUCCCCAGUCCUGGCAAGGGGGCGGAUGGCGCUUGCGAGGUGGCACCGCGGCCAUCGCUCUCUGCACUGCUUUCUCUCCGAGGAAAACGGACGGGUAGCGACGGCGCGAGCUCUGAGCCGACGUUAUCUAGCGAGCACACCGCUCACACAGCUUCGAGCGCUGCUAUUACGGACACAACUGCAGCCGGGACAGUCACACCGGCACUAUACCAGCGCUCUCUUCCCGGCGCGCUCUCCUCGUCGUCGGCCACAGCAUCGCCGAAGCUCUGCACCCCUGCCAAGGAUAGUCACAUGUUCAUUACAGAUCCGCAGGUCUGGCAGCAGGUAGCGUCUCUCCUGCAGGGGGGCACCGUGUUGGUGCUGCUCUUGCGCGCCGUCAACGCUGUCGAGCGACUGGUGCGCCUGGCUGGCCCGCAGGAUCCUCUCGAGGCACGGCGCGUUGUACCGGGAUCCUGGUCUGCUCGCUACGGUGUCGACGAAGCACGAAUGGGCGUGUACACGCCUAGCAACCUUGCAGAUGCCCGGGUCGCCGUAGAAGCUGUCUUUGGCGGGGCGUACGCGGACGAGACAGCCCACGGCAAACCCCGGCUGUCAUUGGAGCGGGAAGCAUACGAGGUCGCCAGGGCAUCGCCAGCCACGGAAGACUCACCGGCGACCCCGUUGAGUUUUGCGCAAAUCCUCCCCACGCUUCGCGCCGGGGUGCCAGCCGCACAGCGCAUUUCUUACUACACCGGCGUGCAAGGGCCCACUGCGUCGGCUGCGACAACGUUCGCCACUAUCCCGACUGCGGCGGCAGAGGGGAUCGAUGCCGUGGCCCCUGCAGAGCAAGCAGCCACCGACGCCGAUGGGAGCAUGAUGCCCGCCGUGGCGAUGGGUCCCGACCCCGCCGUAUGCCCGAGUGCCACCCCACAGUACCCGCAGCGCCAAGAGAGGCUUGGCGAGCUGGAUGACUUGUUGCGUGGCCACGUAGGCUGCUGGCCCUCCACGCACACGCACGCUCGUAUGCGUGUGCGUGUGCGUUCCUCCAUCGGGGUACAAGCAGACGUCGACGAGAGGAAGAGCGAGUAAGGAUGUACACAAUUUGAACCGAAACAAGGGAUGCCAUACCCUCUCCCCCACCACCGCCACCACUACUGCUGCGGGAUGGGGAGGGGGAGGUGUGCAGAUGGAGGAGAGGGCCGGCGCUGCUUGCGUGUAGCAGCGUGUCUCGCUCUCGCCCUUCUCCUUCAGCACCCCCUCCCUCCCUCCCCCAUCCACUCCGGCGAAUCUCACAAGACAAUG
rnacentral:misc_RNA from 1 species